UACGUAGGUGGCAAGCGUUGUCCGGAUUUACUGGGCGUAAAGGGCGUGAAGGCGGUUUGUUAAGUCUAGGGUGAAAGCUCCCGGCUCAACUGGGAGAGGUCCUUGGAUACUGGCGAACUUGAGGGAUGCAGAGGAAAGUGGAAUUCCCGGUGUAGUGGUGAUAUGCGUAGAUAUCGGGAGGAACACCAGUGGCGAAGGCGGCUUUCUGGGCAUUUCCUGACGCUGAGACGCGAAAGCGUGGGGAGCGAACCGG
rnacentral:rRNA from 1 species